rnacentral:rRNA from 1 species
AACGAACGCUGGCGGCAGGCCUAACACAUGCAAGUCGAGCGAGGUAGCAAUACCUAGCGGCGGACGGGUGAGUAACGCGUGGGAACGUGCCCUUUGCUACGGAAUAGCCCCGGGAAACUGGGAGUAAUACCGUAUGUGCCCUUCGGGGGAAAGAUUUAUCGGCAAAGGAUCGGCCCGCGUUGGAUUAGGUAGUUGGUGGGGUAAUGGCCUACCAAGCCGACGAUCCAUAGCUGGUUUGAGAGGAUGAUCAGCCACACUGGGACUGAGACACGGCCCAGACUCCUACAGGAGGCAGCAGUGGGGAAUCUUAGACAAUGGGGGAAACCCUGAUCUAGCCAUGCCGCGUGAGCGAUGAAGGCCUUAGGGUUGUAAAGCUCUUUCAGUGGGGAAGAUAAUGACGGUACCCACAGAAGAAGCCCCGGCUAACUCCGUGCCAGCAGCCGCCGCCGUAA